rnacentral:rRNA from 1 species
UACGUAGGGUGCGAGCGUUGCCCGGAUUUAUUGGGCGUAAAGCGCGUGUAGGCGGCCAGAUAGGUCUGUUGUGAAAACUGGAGGCUUAACCUCCAGACGUCGAUGGAAACCGUAUGGCUAGAGUCCGGAAGAGGAGAGUGGAAUUCCUGGUGUAGCGGUGAAAUGCGCAGAUAUCAGGAAGAACACCCGUGGCGAAGGCGGCUCUCUGGGACGGUACUGACGCUGAGACGCGAAAGCGUGGGGAGCGAACAGG